rnacentral:rRNA from 1 species
GGGGAAUAUUGCGCAAUGGGCGAAAGCCUGACGCAGCAACGCCGCGUGCGGGACGACGGCCUUCGGGUUGUAAACCGCUUUCAGCAGGGACGAAGUGAAAAUGACGGUACCUGCAGAAGAAGCACCGGCCAACUACGUGCCAGCAGCCGCGGUGAUACGUAGGGUGCGAGCGUUGUCCGGAAUUAUUGGGCGUAAAGAGCUUGUAGGCGGUCUGUCGCGUCGUAAGUGAAAACUCAGGGCUCAACCCUGAGCCUGCUUGCGAUACGGGCAGACUAGAGGAAGGUAGGGGAGAACGGAAUUCUUGGUGGAGCGGUGGAAUGCGCAGAUAUCAGGAAGAACACCGGUGGCGAAGGCGGUUCUCUGGACCUUUCCUGACGCUGAGAAGCGAAAGCGUGGGGAGCAAAC